UGCAGAGAGACCACACAGUUUUAGGGUGAACAUGCAAAAGAACAAGAACAUGACACUAAUCACGCUUGUGUUUGCUCUGCUCUUUGUGUCCAGCUCCACUCAUGAAAAGAAAAGCAGAACUAAUAUUACUGUUAUACAGGGCCAAGUCUACCUGAGGCACAACACGCUGUCAGAGGAUGCCCCCAUCACCAUCAUAUUGAAGGUUCUCAUCCACAUCACAUCUUAUGUCAUCUAGGGCGAUACACCUAGGAAAGAAUCUCCUGGCAUGCCUGAUCCAUCCCUGGCAAUCUUCUGCUGAUAUUUCCAGGCAUCCAGCAUUCAUUGCAUCCAGGAGGGACAUUUGAUCAUGUGGAUGAUGGUGGUAAAGCUUCCACCGCCAUGAGGAAAAGAAUUCCUCUAUGGGGUUGAGGAAUGGAGAGUAAGGUGGGAGGAAAAGAGACUCCAUUCUGGGAUGGGCUGCAAACCACUUGGUGACUGCACGGGAGUGAUGAAAUGCCACGUUGUCCCAUACAAUUAUAAAUGUUGGCUGAUUCCUUCUCUCUGCAUCCCUUUCCUCACCUAGCACAACCCGUCCAUAGAGAUCAUGCAGGAACGCAAGGAGCCGUUCAGUGUUGUAUGGCCCAAUUAGUGGUCUGUGUAACAGCAGUCCAUCGGUGGAUAUUGCUGCGCACAUUGUGAUGUUGGCACCCCUCUGGCCUGGGACAGUCACUGUGGCUCUCUUCCCAAUCACAUUCCUCCCUCGUCGCCGUGCUUUGGCCAAGUUGAAACCUGCCUCAUCCACAAAGAUGAAAAUGUGGUGCGUUUGCCUGCCUUCAAUCUCCAUGACUCUCUAACAUAAAUCCACAAGGCAACAUAAGCUGUUACAGUAGUAAAUUUGUAAAAAUUGUCUUUGUGUGUGUUUGGUUUUGUUCAAAAACAGAUCUGUAUUUUAUUGUGAUCUUACCUGGACAUACUGGUUCCUGAGUUGCUUGACAUGUUCAGAGUUCCUCUCAAAAGGCACAGUGUACAACUGUUUCAUCCUGACCUGAUGUUUUUUCUGGACUUUAGAAAUUGUUGUUAUGCUUACACUGUGAAUAUUUGCGAAAGUAACGUUGUCUGCCAAGACUCUGUCUAAUUUCAGUGAGUUUUAUCCCAUUGUUUCUGAUGACCAUAUCAACAAUGGCAGUUUCCUGCACAUCAGUGAACAUCCGUCCUCUCCCUCCUAUGUGAGGUAACUGUUGAGUCCUAAGCAGAAAUGCAACAAAAAUUACACAAAAGCUUAUUUACUUCUGAAAUGUGCAAAUGCCCCUGCAGAAUACAAGUUACCUGUUGGUUUGCCGGAAAACUCUAACAAUAGAUGCCACUGUAGAGCGUUGCAGAUUUGGCUGCACUCUCUGACCAGCCUCUCUCAUUGAGUGACCAUGAUUUACUACAUGAUCAAUUACAGUAGCUCUGAUCUCAUCUGAGACUACAGCUCUUGAUCUUCCUCUUAUUCUUCUUCCACCACGCAUACCUCGCCCCCUCCCAGCCACUCUUCUUCCUCUUUCAGCCACUUCUCCAUUUCUGGCUGGGUCCAUGUUUACAUCACAAAACAAACCUAUUCAGCAGUUGUCUCCUUUUGUAAUGAAAUUGAAGGCGUAACACCUGUGUAGAUGUUCAUCUACAAUGAGAAUCAGCUGUUGCUGGUUAAACUGCACUUUUAGAUUUAAAAUAUGUUUCAAUAAAAUAUUGCUGUUGAAUUUUGC
ensembl:lncRNA